AUAACAUAUUUAUAGUGAUAUCAUGUUUUAUGUAUUAAGUCAAGCUAUUGUAAGAACAAAACGAUUUUCCAACACGACUUUCUUUUUAUUCAAUCAUACACAAUUAUUGUAGAUCAGACUCGUACUUCAAUUCAUUUAUUACGAUUCGUGCAUAAUAUAACCGACAGCUAUUAUAGUUCAAAAACAAUUAAAUAUAAAUUGCCAAAACGUACAACUUUGCACUCAAUCAAAUGGUAUGACUGUAUGACUGUAUAUAAGAUACUAAAAUAAUGGUGGAUCAUAUUUUUCAAUAAUAAAUGAUAAUAAUAUAAUAAGUUUUCUUCGCUUUAAAUGACAAUACAGAUUUCAAAUUUGAUAAAAAUGCUUGAAGUAAAUAAAUUAAUACAAGUUAUCUGCGGGAUCAUCGAGAACGAGGAGGAAUACAGGCCUAUCAAACUAUCAACUCUGCAAUAUAGGUACCUAUAUACUACGCCUAAAACUAAGCCAUUCGCCCAUUCGUGUUCGUGUACAUAUUAUACAUAUAAAUAUUAAUAUAUUGUAUUUAUAAUUUAUUGUAUAGGCCAAAUUCUGAAAUAUUUUAGAAGUAAAUUUGAAAAUCUAAACUACCUACUAUUAGUUUAAACUUUAAAUGAAACUCAAAUUAAAACAACAUACUCUAUAAUAAUUACACAGUAAAGAAUUCUAAUAAUACUUAAAUAAUAAAAACAAUUUAAUUUGUUUAAUAAUUUAUAAUUAGGAAAGUAAAUUUUAAUACGUAGGUCGUAGGUAGAUAAGUAGAUAUUACACUAUACUCGUGUAAUGUGUUGUAUAGAUAUUACCAUUGAUUAUAUACAUAUGUAUAGUCAAUGAUAUUACAUAAAUAGGUUUAUAUGCUAAUAUGCCAUUAAAUUAUAACAAUUAGAUUUAAACAUAAGG